rnacentral:rRNA from 1 species
GCUGUGUGCCUAUACUGCAUGUCGAAUCCACACUUGUGCUUAGUGGCAAAUGGUUGUACAACACGUACUUAAUCUACCCCCAAGUUUGGGAUAACAGUUGGAAACAAUUGCUAAUCCCCAAUACAUAUAAGUUUUGCAUAAUUCUUAUAUAAAAGGAGCGUUUGUUUCGCUAGGGGAUGAGAGUGCGCUACAUUAGUUAGUUGGUAGGGUAAGAGCCUACCAAGACUAUGAUGUAUAGCGGGGCUGAGAAGCUGAACCGCCACACUGGGACUGAGAUACGGCCCAGACUCCUACGGGAGGCAGCAGUAGGGAAUAUUCCACAAUGAGCGAAAGCUUGAUGGAGCAACACAGCGUGCAUGAAGACGACCUUAGCCUUGUAAACUGCUGUUAUGAGGGAAGAAAAAUAAAAUUAGGAAAUGAAUUUUACAUGACGGUACCUCAUCAGAAAGCACCGGCAAACUAUGUGCCAGCAGCCGCGGUAAUACAUAGGGUGCAAGCGUUAUCCGGAAUUAUUGGGCGUAAAGUGUCUGUAGGUGUCA